GUAUGAUCAAAUUACUAACCCAAUCACUUUGACCGAGUCAGAUAAGGUAUGCUAUUUAACAGGCAGUCUUUUAGGAGAGGACAUCAGUUGCUCCUGUUUACCACGGACACAAGAAAGAACUCCAAAAACCUUCAAACAAGCUCAAAUUGUCGGCCAUUAUUUUGAAACUGUCGAGUGAAUCUGAAUAUUCUGCUUGUUCGUCUCGCUUCAACUGUUGGACGCUAUAGAGAGAGGAAGAGGAAAACCCUUUUCGGACCAGCUGCCCGUAAGCUAUGUAAGUACGUACAGAAAAGAUUGACAAACCUGGCUGGCUGGCUAUAACACAGCUAUGAAUAAUGCAUUAGCCAAUCAAUACCAACGAUUGUUGAUGCUAUAGGGAUUCAAAGACAAUUUCCCACUUGUAUAUAAAACAUCUGUGGAAUAAGAGGAACAGAGAAAUCCCGAUUCCAGACAAGGUCGGAGCAAAUGGCAAUGGAGUGAGCGGUCCGAAAGUGGAGACGUAGCUCCAAAAUCACUGAUAACCGCGUCUUCUUUUUCUCGUUUCUUCAAAAUACCGAAUUUAUAAGCCAGCCACAAGCCAAGACAAAAUAAAGAAAAGCUCUCAAACACAAGUGUUAUAUUUUUUUGACUUUUGGCAAAUCCUACCCAAAACAAAUGAUUUCUAAAGCGGUUCUGGUUGGUGCGGAUUAUUCAACACAUGAUUCCCAUAUCUACGCGCUGAUGCUCUAAGAAGUGUUAUUCUUUUGUAUCUAGUUGGAAACGAUAUGGUAUAUCCUAUCUAUGCGCUGUGACCAUAGAUAAGAGAUACAUCUGCUUACGUUUUGUCUCCAACAGUGGGAAGUUUCUGUAGACAGGUUUAUUUAAAUAUUAAGGGAUGUAUUUUUUGAUCUACUACUGCCCGCCGCGCGCGGCUGCUUACAACUGUGCUUAAUAUACAGCCGUUUUGGGGUCGCCAUGGGGGCUUAUUCACCAAAGAUCCCGAGGAUUAUGCAUACGAAAAUCGAAUAGAACAUGGCGCGAUUCACUUCAGACGGACAAUAAUCUACAUACAAGGACAUACCAAAAGCCUUGUUUUCUGAAGCCAGUUUCGUCAUUACCACUCCAUUGCACGAGUCCUCACAGGACAGGGAUUGUGGUACCUCAUCGCUGCAUCAUUGUUGGUGUGAACGGACUGAGAAGAGGACUUUAUUGACCUCGUCAGUACGCUGUUUGGCAUCGAGAUGGAGCGGUUAAAUAAGAUUAGGGUUUGUGCUUGUGUUGACUGUAGUCAGCAUACAUUGGGAAG